AUUCAGCCCCACCCCAUGACUUCCAGAGACAGAGGAAAGGCUGAAGGUUGAGUUGAUUACCAGUAGCUCACGAUAUAAUCAUUCAUGCCUACAUAACACAGCUUUCAUAAGAACCCAAUAGGACAGGGUUCAAGGACCCUCUAAAGAAUGCCACACCUAUAGAGGCAUGGAAACUCUUUGCCACUUUCAUCUGACUAUUGAUCUAUAUCCUUUGUAAUGCCUCUUAUAAGAAAUGGGCAGAUUCUAGCAGUGUUUGUGAGAAAAACUGAUGGAUCCUGCAGAUUAACUAUGGACAGCCAAAUAUUGAGUAAAGUGAUGUCUACAACAGCAUCAGCUAUGCCUGAUAUGGUGUUAAUUCACAUUGUGAAGUUCCAAAAUCAGAAGAUGAUACAGAAAGAUUGCUCUGGUUGCCUGGUUUCUGAAGAAAUCGUGUACCCUGUCUGGAUAGUGUCUUACUUCCUAUCCACAAAGUUGUGAAAUAAUCUGGAAUUAAAUGGCAACCUAAACAACCCUAGAGUUGCCUGAACACAGAGCCAUUGCUGUGUUGAUCAUUAUAGCAGGAACCAAGUUGCUUCCAGAGUAAAGUUCUCCAAUCCACUCGAUAUUUAUAAUUCUCUGCCCUCAGUCCUCAAUAGGAAAAAGAUGCCUCCCUGGUCGACCUUCCUGGAAAGUAUGCAUAUCAUUACUGCUUAGAUUUUGUUGGAGAGAAAUCACACUACCAUCAAAGACAACGGGUCAAAAAGAAUGCCGUCCUAAGCUGAGAAGCCAUCUUCCUAACGACAGCCAUGUAAUAUGAAAGGGAAAAACACACUGUUAUUGAAGAACUUAUCAGCUAUGUCACAUCUUCCACACAAAUACUCAGGAAAGUUAAAAGAAAAUUUUACCUCGGACACAGUUGAUGUACCUCAGUCUUGUACAAAACUUAGAACUCACUAAGUCUGAAAUAAGACUUUAAACUCUCUCUGAGGUGAAGUUGUAAUACAGUGAGAAUGAUAAUAUAUAGUAUAUUAGGAUUUACUUACUCCUGUGUUGUUCUGGACUAUAGACUGCCACACAUAUCAGAUGCACAUGACUGACAUGUAUAUCUUCAUUUUGCUAUUAUUUGUGGUGAACUAAUACAGGAUUUACUGUAAAAGUAUAAUAAUGCAGUAGCAAUAUACUAAUAAAUCAAUGCAGUUAAUAUACAA
ensembl:lncRNA LINC02109 long intergenic non-protein coding RNA 2109